UACUUAAUGUAAAUAUUUGCAAUGCAAAAGAAGUAUAAGUAGCCUUCCACCUCCAAUCAGCUGCAGCUUCAAUUCUUUCCGUUCUUUGCAGAUUUUAUAAGAAGGAGCAGCACCUCCGUGGAGAAUUUGUCCGUUGCUGUUGGUGUGCGUGGUCAAGGCGCAAGCUAUAUUCAAGGCUACAAGUAACGAGCUGUCCAGAAAAUCCGAUUGGCCUUCCACGACUGUUUUGUUGAGAUAUGUGAUGCAUCUGUCCGGUCGAGGGAGGUUUAUAACCUGAGAAAUAUCGUUCCCGAAUAUCAAUUUUCUUAGGGGAUACGACGUAAUUGAUGAGAUGAAGAAAAGAUUGGACGCAGUCUGUCCUGAAACAUCAUUGUGCUUAGAGCAAGACAUUCCGUGGUUAUGGGCAAUCUGUAGGUACAACACAACUUCAUUUAGGAGCCUGGCAGAGAGCAAUCUGCCUUGGCCAAAUGAUGAAAUUCACACCAAGAUCCGCACAUUCAGGACGAAAGGGUUUUCAACAAAGGAAAUGGUGAGCCCAGUGCCACUUUUUCCAGGAAAGACAGUCAAAGUGGAAGAGCCGACCCCAGCAUUGAGAGGCAUCUGAACUCAAGGAUCAGCACCUCCGUGGAGAAUGAAUUUGUUCGUUGGUGUUGUUGUGCGUAUUCUGUCGCACUUCGUGCCUGUAGGCACAAGGUGUUAUCAAGGUUAUCCAGGAAAUCCGAUUGGCCUUCACUACUGUUUUGUUGAGGGAUGUGAUGCAUCUGUCCUGUCGAGGGAGACAUUUCACCUGAGAAAAAUCCAUAUCAAAUAUCAAAUCUGUUAGAUGAGAUGAAGCAAAGAUUGGAAGCAGAAACAUCAUUGUGCUUAGUGCAAGACAUUCGGUGCUUAUGGGCAAUCUGCAGGUACAUCACGACCCUGGUAGAGUGCAAUCUGCCUUGGCCGAACGAUGAAAUUCACACCAUGAUCUGCACAUCCGGAGUGAAAGGGUUUUCGGCAAAGGAAAUGCCGCUUUCUCCAGGAAAGACUGUCAAACUUUAACGGUAGUAGGAGAGCCAACCCCACCACUGACGGGCAUUUCCGCAAGCAUCUGAGCUCCCUCUGCAGUCGGCAGGCAGAUCCAGCGGUGGCCUUGGACAAUGGCAGCGCGUCUUCAUUCGAUUCCCACUACUACAGAAAUUUGGAAAGCGGAAAAGGGCUUCUGUAUGUCGACCAGGCGUUAAUGGCGGUGCCCGUCACCCGCAGCAUAGUCGACUUGUACGCUUCCAAUCAGGAACUCUUCUACCGUGAUUUCUCAGUCGCCAUGGUCAAACUUUUCAACCUGAAUGUGCUCACAGGAAAACAGGGGCAGAUAAGAAAAGAGUGCUCUAAGCUUGUCAAUGGCAGCAGGAGCUCAAGAAAGCCCGUCAUUGGCAAAUUGAAGCUGCUCUGGUACAGCCUCACGCUCGCUUCCAGUCGCUCGUCGAACAACCCAUCGUCUACCCCUACAUUGGCUUCAUGUAGCCCACCCUCUAUAGUUGAAGCUUUAUGUCGGCAAGCAGGGCAUGUGUGUCGCCUUUCUUGAGCUCCACCUUCUUCAUUGAUUCAAGUUUUGAGAUUAAUGGCGUUUUGGAAUUGGGUUGAAUGCCCAUGCCCAUGUCCAGAAUUUCUCACGCCCGCUUCCAGUCUCUCAUCGAACAAGAAGAAGCACAAGUAGCCUUCCGCCUCAAAUUGGCUUCCAUUCUUUCCUGCUUCUUGUAACCUCUGCUUCCUCAAGGAAAUGGUGAGCCCACUGCUGCUUUUUCCAGGAAAGACUGUCAAAGUGGGAGAGCAUUGAGAGGCAUCUGAACUCCCUCGUCAUUCGAUUACAGAAAUUUGAAGAGCGGAAAAGGGCUUCUGUAUGUCGACUAGUUCGCUUCCAAUCAGGAGCUAUUCUACCGUGAUUGCUCAAACUUUUGAACCUGAACGUGCUCACAGCAAAACAGGGGCAGAUAAGAAAAGAGUGCUCCAAGCUUGUGAAUAGCAGCAGGAAGUCAUAUGAGGGGGCUCCUUUCAAAGAUCCAGAAAAACCAUUUCCCUUUUAAUACAAUUUCUUUUCUGCCUGUCGAUUCUUUCAUGUACCAUUCUGUAUAACUCUCUUUUGACCAUGGACAGUUCUGUUUAUGAUGUAAACAUUGCUUGACUGUUACACACUUCAAUGAACCAUAUAUUCCUGUUUUUUUUGAAAUACAGGCAGACCAGCUUAAGGAUUUUUCUGGUCUCUUCAUGAAAUUUAAUGUGAUAUUACCAAAAAAAUAAAAAUGCAGUCCUAGGUUGUAUAGA